rnacentral:lncRNA from 1 species
AGAGAACUAUGAGAAAGAAAGAAAGAAAGAAAGAAAGAAAAAGUAAAAGUAAAAGAAAGAGAGUGUAUAUGAAGAGAAUGUAUAAAAGAAAGAAAGAAAGAAAGAAUAUGUAAGUGAAGAGUAUAAGAUAGAAAAGAAGAUUGUGUGUGUGAGAGAAAAAGUGAGUUUGUAUAAGAAAGGAGUAUGAGAGAAAAAAAAAAA